rnacentral:rRNA from 5 species
UUUUAUGAGAGUUUGAUCCUGGCUCAGGACGAACGCUGGCGGCGUGCCUAAUACAUGCAAGUCGUACGCUUCUUUUUCCACCGGAGCUUGCUCCACCGGAAAAAGAGGAGUGGCGAACGGGUGAGUAACACGUGGGUAACCUGCCCAUCAGAAGGGGAUAACACUUGGAAACAGGUGCUAAUACCGUAUAACAAUCGAAACCGCAUGGUUUUGAUUUGAAAGGCGCUUUCGGGU